GUACACAACACGAUCACAGCGACAUAUUCUUACGUUUAUAUCCGCCAUUUACCUUCUGUCUAUCUAUGGAUUUUUCUAUGUAAAUCUCUCUUCUUUCACAAUUCUCUUUCGUCGGUUUCAUACGUCAAAACCCUAUUAAUCUCCGCCGAUCGCCCAACCUCUCCUCAGAAUAAUUAGAAGAAAAAAAAAGCAACCGCUUUUUGCAGAACUGUUGUUUUUAGAUUCCCGGAUACGGCUUGAUCUAGCUCUUCUGCUAAUCCGGUAUAAUGGCUUAUUCUCAGACAUACCAUACAAAAGGUGGUCCUUUGCGUGGUCAGUACAGAUUCUCACAUGGUAGAAACCAUGCUAAUAACCACAAUGCCACACUUGCUCCCAAUACCUACAACAACACCAAGUAUUUUGACUAUAGCUUUACACAUCAAGGAGAUAUUGAUCAUCCAAAUGAUAUCCGUAAAAACUUUAUGGAGUAUGGCUACAAUUACAAUAGUAAUUGUGUGAAACCUGAGGUUGAACCUUCUGCAAAGAGAAGGAAGUGCUUAUCUUCUUCAUGGGGAAGUAGUGCGAGUUACCAUCAGCAACUCCAUGCAUGUAAUAACGUUCCACCAAGACAACCAAGCACACAUAACAACAUGCAUCCAAGGAAUCAGAGUGCAUAUGAUAGUGUCACCUCAAUAUGCAACAAUAAUUCCAGUAUUGCAAUUUCCACUACUAGUACCAGUAAUAGGUCUUUUUCCAAUGGGCAUGCCUCUAAUAACUACAAGCGUGGCCGCUCAGAAUUUGAAGAUGAUGACAGUGAGGUGGUUUUUAUGUCCAGAGAGGAAAUUGAGAGGUGCUCUCCUUCCAGGAAAGAUGGUAUUGAUGCUGUGUGUGAAAUGCAUUUGCGAUAUUCGUAUUGUGCAUUCCUGCAGACCCUUGGAGCUCGACUUGAACUGCCACAAACAACAAUUGGGACUGCCAUGGUUCUCUGUCACCGGUUCUUUGUCCGUAGGUCUCAUGCUUGUCAUGAUAGAUUUUUGGUCGCUACUGCUGCUCUCUUCCUAGCUGCUAAAUCAGAAGAGACUCCAUGUCCUCUCAACAACGUGUUGAGAUCAGCAUCUGAGAUUUUCCAUAAGCAGGACUUUUCUUAUUUAUCAUAUACACUCCCAGUUGACUGGUUUGAGCAAUACCGAGAACGGAUUACUGAGGCUGAGCAAUUGAUCUUGACAACUUUAAAUUUUGAGCUCAAUGUGCAGCACCCAUAUACUUCUCUUACCUCCACACUUGAGAAAUUAGGAUUUUCCCAAACAGUUUUGGUGAACUUGGCACUAAACUUGGUCAGUGAAGGGGUCUUUAGAAGGAUUAUCUUGGUCGCUUGUAUGAUAUUGUUAGCUGGCGGUUGAUAUGCUGUUCAUCAAAUGUUUUGUUUUUCAUCUGAAGUUAAAACUAGCCAUUUCUUGUGGAUGCUUUUUUCCAUAACAUGUAAAUAGCAAUUCAUUGGCUGUAGAAGAUAGUCACAGAUGCUCCAGAAGCAGUUUUGCCAUGACACUGUUUUUCACGUCACAAGGAAGAAACCUACUGUGUCCUCGUGCACUAAUUUCCAUAUCCCCUAUUUUUUUGGUGUCCAGAUAGGACAAUGAUAAAUAGGGCAGUGAACCUGAAAAGGUGUAGAAGAUAGUCACAGAUGCUCCAGAAGCAGUUUUGCCAUGACAUUGUUUUUCACGUCACAAGGAAGAAACCUACUGUGUCCUGGUGCACUAAUUUCCUUAUCACCUAUUUUUUUGGUGUCCACAUAGGACACUGAUAAAUAGGGCAGUGAACCUGAAAAGGUGUUUGGUGAGUUAUUGGCUUGAAAAUUUUUGGGGCACUUAAGGCAAGUGUUUAACAGCCCUAGUAUAGCAAUAGUUUAUAUUGCAUAAACUAUUACACUGGGCUUCUUGCAGGGAGUAGUCAUUUAUUUGUGGGGUUUAUUGGCUGAUGUAUGGGGACUUGGGGUGAUUGAGAAUGGUUCUUGAAUUGAGUAGUAGUUUUCCUUUGGGGGUGGGGAGAUGCGUAACUAUUAUACUGAGCCUUUGGAUAGGAAAAGUGCCUCCAUUGCUUUAGGUUUGUGCCUCAACAUCUUAUGUAAGCUUCGACAGCCAAUUAGGAUCCCUCAAGCAAGGUGUUGUUGGCUGAGUAUCAUGUGCUUCGCAGAUGUUUUACUUGUCUCUAACAAGGAAAGAGUUGGCUCACUUGUGUACAUAUAUGUUAUUUAUACAUUCCAAAAAGAAAAGAAAAAAAAAAGAUAAGAAAUUUAUCAGGUAACUCCAUCCUGCUGUUUGUAGAUACUAGUGCAUACGGCAGUUGGCUACGUAUGAUGUGAUAGUGUUUCUAAUUUUGCAUCAUUGCCUGCCCUGUAGACUUCGGUUUAUUUCUAGUACUAGAAAACUGUGUUAGGAAAGGUCAUGAAUGAUUUCAAAUUGGGGUGUUCUGUUCAUGAGUAGAAGAUGAGACGGUCUAUCCCUCAGACUUGUCAACGUACCCUCUUAGCCCUUAUGUCUGAAUUGUGUAUAUUUCUGGGGUUGAUAUACUGCUGCAGCAGAGCUGGGACUGGGAGUUGGUGCACUCUCUAGAUGCUUAUAACAUAUUUGCUAUAUUCUUGGUACUCUAUCGACAUUCUGCAGAAGAUUCUUGGGUUUAUCCAUCUCCAUUGCUGCUCUGUUAGUUGGUAAGGGAAAAUUGUUUCGGUUUGCUUUUUGACUUCCAUACUUGACUUGACGCCUUAAAAAGUUGUUUGGCGAUAAUGUUACCUGUAUCAGACUUAAAUGAUUUUAAUUGUUCGUUGGCAAGAAGUAGUACUCCCAAAAUUACUAGUUCUCAUGUUUUUGACGUGGCAAAUGUGAACUGAAUGUAACGUCCCUCCUAUUGUUGCUGCAAUUGAUUUGGUUGGUCAUUUAUCCCGUUCUCCUGGAUUAGGUGUUAAUUCAUUCCACCGCUCUGUAUGUCUAAACCUCGUCUCUGCUUUGCAUUGCAGGCUUAGAAGUUCGUUAUGGCUUCAAUUCAAACCGCAUCAGAUUGCUGCUGGUGCCGCUUAUCUUGCUGCAAAGUUCUUAAAUAUGAACAUGGCUUCAAGCCACAAAAUUUGGCAGGAGUUUGAAACUCCGCCCCCUGUACUCAAAGAUGUUGCGCAACAAUUGAUGGAGCUCUUUUAGCAUGCCACAAGAGAUCAAAUAGCUAGAGAUUAUAGUUUACCUUGCAUCUCUUACAGUGAUUCUUCUUGCUUCCAAUUACAGCAGCUGUGCUUCUGUUCCUGUUAACUUGUUUUGUAUAGUGUCCAUUUUGAAUGCUAUGAUGAUAUGUUGUAAAGAGGAGUUGAUGGACAUUGAAAUCUCUGUUGGUGUUGUGUGUUUUGAUUUCAAAUUAUUUACAAUUUACGUGAAA